GAUGAACGCUAGCGAUAGGCCUAACACAUGCAAGUCGAGGGGCAUCACAUGAGGCAGCAAUGCCGAUGGUGGCGACCGGCGCACGGGUGAGUAACACGUAUGCAACCUGCCUUCAACAAGGGGAUAACCCGUUGAAAAACGGACUAAUACCCUAUAAUACAGGGGUCCCGCAUGGGGAUAUUUGUUAAAGAUUGAUCGGUUGAAGAUGGGCAUGCGUUCCAUUAGCUGGUUGGUGAGGUAACGGCUCACCAAGGCAACGAUGGAUAGGGGAACUGAGAGGUUUAUCCCCCACACUGGUACUGAGACACGGACCAGACUCCUACGGGAGGCAGCAGUGAGGAAUAUUGGUCAAUGGACGCAAGUCUGAACCAGCCACGUCGCGUGAAGGAAGACGGCCCUACGGGUUGUAAACUUCUUUUAUACGGGAAUAAAGUGCCCCACGCGUGGGGUUUUGCAUGUACCGUAUGAAUAAGGAUCGGCUAACUCCGUGCCAGCAGCCGCGGUAAUUACG
rnacentral:rRNA from 1 species